CCCUUAGAUGUUCUGGGCUGCACGCGCGCUACAAUGGCGUUUUCAAAAAGACUGCUAAUCCGAAAGGACAAGCGGAUCUUCGAAGUGGCGUCGUGAUCGGGACAGUUGAUUGCAAUUAUUCGACUCGAACGAGGAAUUCCUUGUAAUCGUGCGUCAUCAGCGCACGCUGAAUACGUCCCUGUUCUUUGUACACACCGCCCGUCGCUCCUACCGAUCGAGCGAUCCAAUGAAUGUUUCGGAGCGGAUCUGCGAUGCUACGCGUCUCUUAUUCGCGAAUUUGUGUGAAUUUGAUCGCUUAGAGGAAGGAGAANUCGUAACA
rnacentral:rRNA from 1 species